rfam:Nippostrongylus brasiliensis genome assembly, scaffold: NBR_scaffold0000133
CUUGGCUACGGAGAUAUGGUACCGUCCACGGUGAUGGGUAAAAUCGUCGGUGGUAUCUGCUCGCUAUCCGGUGUGCUGGUAAUCGCGCUGCCUGUUCCUGUGAGUGAUCUAU